GUGCCAGCAGCCGCGGUAAUACGGAAGGUGCAAGCGUUAAUCGGAAUUACUGGGCGUAAAGCGCGCGUAGGCGGCUUGGUAAGUCGGGUGUGAAAGCCCCGGGCUCAACCUGGGAACGGCACUCGAUACUGCUGGGCUGGAGUACGAGAGAGGGGGGUGGAAUUCCAGGUGUAGCGGUGAAAUGCGUAGAGAUCUGGAGGAACACCGGUGGCGAAGGCGGCCCCCUGGCUCGAUACUGACGCUGAGGUGCGAAAGCGUGGGGAGCAAACAGGAUUAGAAACCCGCGUAGUCC
rnacentral:rRNA from 1 species